CGCGGCCUUUGCCAGCCGUGGACAGGAUCAGGGCGCAGGGGUUGGCGCAGGCACCGCCUGGUGCAGCCGUCGGGAGCCUCGAGGGGCUCAGUGACCCUUCAUCGGGCCAUAGCUCCACAUGGGCUGUGCUCCCUACUGCCGUGCCCGAAGGUGGGUGAGGAGUUCUGUGACCGUUGCCAGGAAUUGGCUUCGUAACCCUGAAACUGGAGGCGCUUGGGGAAGCAGAGACAUUCCCUGGAGAACCACACAGGUCACCCACAUGGCCAGGCUGACUCAGCAGUAAGUCUACACAUGUCCAACUGCAAAUAUGUCUAACAUGCCUGAUGUGAAAUUAUAAACGUCUUUGGGCAGGCUCCCACCCUCUAGGCUUGUCAGCAACUGACAUACACAUUCCAAACUUUCUGCGCUUCGUUUUCUUUCUACACUGAAGGGUUAAUACACACAGCACAGCUUUAGUGGCACCCUUCAUACUCCUGCUGACCCUGGAAGGCUGAGACACACAGGACCUGGGCAAGGGUUUCUUCCAAGUGUAGACAGAACUCGCCAUUGGCAAGUGACUGCUCUCCAU